ACGGGUGAGGAACACGUGAGGAACCUGGCUCUGGGUGGGGGAUAACUGUCAGAAAUGAGAGCUAAUCCCGCAUACGACUCGUUUCGGAGGGGAGACGAGGGAAAGCAGCAAUGCGCCGAGAGAGGGGCUUGCGGCCGAUUAGCUAGUUGGUGUGGUAAGAGCGCACCAAGGCGACGAUCGGUAGCUGGUCUGAGAGGACGAGCAGCCACACUGGGAUUGAGAACGGCCCAGACUCCUACGGGGGGCAGCAGUGAGGAAUCUUCGGCAAUGGGGGCAACCCUGACCGAGCGACGCCGCGUGCGGGAAGACGGCCUUCGGGUUGUAAACCGCUUUUCUGGGGGACGAGAGAACGGACGGUACCCCAGGAAGAAGCCUCGGCUAACUACGUGCCAGCAGCCGCGGUAAUACGUAGGAGGCGAGCGUUGUCCGGAGUUACUGGGCGUAAAGGGUGCGCAGGCGGCGUUCCGCGUGGCGAGAUGAAAUCUCCUGGCUUACCUGGGAGGGUGGUCGCCAGACGGGAGCGCUUGAGGGUCGGAGAGGGGCGUGGAAUUCCGGGUGGAGCGGUGAAAUGCGUAGA
rnacentral:rRNA from 1 species